CGGAGGCAGCAGUGAGGAAUAUUGCACAAUGGGGGAAACCCUGAUGCAGCAACGCCGCGUGAGUGAUGACGGCCUUCGGGUUGUAAAGCUCUGUCUUCAGGGACGAUAAUGACGGUACCUGAGGAGGAAGCCACGGCUAACUACGUGCCAGCAGCCGCGGUAAUACGUAGGUGGCGAGCGUUGUCCGGAUUUACUGGGCGUAAAGGGAGCGUAGGCGGAUUUUUAAGUGAGAUGUGAAAUACUCGGGCUUAACCUGAGUGCUGCAUUUCAAACUGGAAGUCUAGAGUGCAGGAGAGGAGAAGGGAAUUCCUAGUGUAGCGGUGAAAUGCGUAGAGAUUAGGAAGAACACCAGUGGCGAAGGCGCUUCUCUGGACUGUAACUGACGCUGAGGCUCGAAAGCGUGGGGAGCAACCAGGAUUAGAAACCCGAGUAGUCCC
rnacentral:rRNA from 1 species